CCUACGGGUGGCAGCAGUGGGGAAUAUUGCACAAUGGGGGAAACCCUGAUGCAGCGACGCCGCGUGAGCGAUGAAGUAUCUCGGUAUGUAAAGCUCUAUCAGCAGGGAAGAAAAUGACGGUACCUGACUAAGAAGCCCCGGCUAACUACGUGCCAGCAGCCGCGGCAAUACGUAGGGGGCCAGGGUUAUCCGGAUUUACUGGGGGUAAAGGGAGCGUAGAGGGCGGUGCAAGCCAGAUGUGAAAGCCCGGGGCUCAACCCCGGGACUGCAUUUGAAACUGUGGUGCUAGAGUGGCGGAGAGGCAGGCGGAAUUCGUAGUGUAGCGGUGAAAUGCGUAGAUAUUAGGAGGAACACCAGUGGCGAAGGCGGCCUGCUGGACGAUGACUGACGUUGAGGCUCGAAAGCGUGGGGAGCAAACAGGAUUAGAUACCCUAGUAGUC
rnacentral:rRNA from 1 species